rnacentral:rRNA from 1 species
CACGCCGUAAACGGUGGGUACUAGGUGUGGGUUCCUUCCUUGGGAUCCGUGCCGUAGCUAACGCAUUAAGUACCCCGCCUGGGGANUGCAACGCGAAGAACCUUACCUGGGUUUGACAUGCACAGGACGCUGGUAGAGAUAUCAGUUCCCUUGUGGCCUGUGUGCAGGUGG